rnacentral:rRNA from 1 species
CAGUAGCCGCGGGAAUACGAAGGGGGCUAGCGUUGCUCGGAAUGACUGGGCGUAAAGGGCGCGUAGGCGGCGACCAAAGUCAGGCGUGAAAUUCCCGGGCUCAACCUGGGGGCUGCGUUUGAUACUUGGUUGCUUGAGUGGGGAAGAGGGUCGUGGAAUUCCCAGUGUAGAGGUGAAAUUCGUAGAUAUUGGGAAGAACACCAGUGGCGAAGGCGGCUCACUGGACCGACACUGACGCUGAGGCGCGAAAGCGUGGGGAGCAAACAGGAUUAGAUACCCCUGUAGUCCCUGUCUCUUAUAC